GACGUAGGGCGCGAGCGUUGUCCGGAUUUAUUGGGCGUAAAGAGCUCGUAGGCGGCUUGUCGCGUCGUUCGUGAAAACCUGUGGCUCAACUGCAGGCUUGCGGUCGAUACGGGCAGGCUGGAGUUCGGUAGGGGAGACUGGAAUUCCUGGUGUAGCGGUGAAAUGCGCAGAUAUCAGGAGGAACACCGGUGGCGAAGGCGGCGACCUGGGUAGAUACUGACGCUGAGGUGCGAAAGCGUGGGGAGCAAACAGG
rnacentral:rRNA from 1 species